rnacentral:rRNA from 1 species
UACGGGAGGCAGCAGUGGGGAAUAUUGCACAAUGGGCGAAAGCCUGAUGCAGCUAUGCCGCGUGUAUGAAGAAGGCCUUAGGGUUGUAAAGUACUUUCAGCAGGGAGGAAAGAAUAAAACUAAUAAUUUUAUUUUGUGACGUUACCUGAAGAAGAAGCACCGGCUAACUCCGUGCCAGCAGCCGCGGUAAUACGGAGGGUGCAAGCGUUAAUCAGAAUUACUGGGCGUAAAGAGCGCGUAGGUGGUUUUUUUAAAGUCAGAUGUGAAAUCCCUAGGCUUAACCUAGGAACUGCAUUUUGAAACUGAAAAACUAGAGUAUCGUAGAGGGAGGUAGAAUUCUAGGUGUAGCGGUGAAAUGCGUAGAUAUCUGGAGGAAUACCUGUGGCGAAAGCGGCCUCCUAAACGAAUACUGACACUGAGGUGCGAAAGCGUGGGGAGCAAACAGGGAUUAGAUACC